UAUAAUAUCAUUUUGUUAUCAUUUUCACUUUAGAAGUUGCAAGAAUAAUUAGCACACCACAUAAGAAGAAAUGUUGAUGAAGUUCAUUUUAUGAAUAUAAAUCAUAUGGGAGUUUGAUAAUAUGAUUAUUGGUGCAGAUAUUAUGAGUAAAGCGUGAGUGCACUGGUUAUCUUGCUAUAAAAUAUUGAGUAAAUUACAGAUUGUGUAUACGUAGUUUCCGCUUUGUGUAGCUUAUUUUUCAUACUAUAUUGCAAAGCGUGUAUACAGAGUUUAAGUGAUGGUAGUAGUGCUACGUGUACAAGCGUCAACAAUUAAACAGUCUUGUCUCUCUCCAGCCAUCUCUAUCACCAGCGUCUCUGCAACUUUCUCGUCGUCCAUCCCAUCCCUGUUUAACCUCUGCUACCGCGUCCCCAGCCAACGCCAAUAGGCACACCCAAAUCUCCCUCCUCUCUGCAUCUAUGGCAGCCACCGACACUCUGCUUCUUCCGUUCAAAUCCCGACAAGGCCUCACUGUAAAAGCCUCCAUUCAUCCCUCCUUCCACAACCAUCUUCCCCACUGCAACACCCAGUCAAGCAUAUCCAUGUCUCACAACCUUCCCUCGACUAACACCAUAAAUAAACAACUGGAUCCAACGGAAAUAGCGGCAGCCUAAACUUCUUCAAACACACCCCACAAAUCGUAUUAAUUUCUGGUCAGCCUGUUCUUCGCACAACUAUUUCACCCCGACCACAGUAUUCAUCCAUGAUUAUCCUCUGAUUCUAAGUUGAUUUUCUUUUCAAGAUUUAGGGUUUUUUAUUUUGGGGAAGAUCAUGUGCACAGGCUUAUUAUAGCCGUUACGUUGUAAAAGAGCAGUUUAUCAGCCCCUUUCUUAAAAACUAGCUAAGAGCAUCUCCAAGG
rnacentral:lncRNA from 1 species